UCCUCCGUGGCGCAAUUGGCUAGCGCGUUCGACUGUUAUCAUGACAGGUAAUCGAGAGGUUGACAGUUCAAGCCUGUCCGGGGGAG